rnacentral:sRNA from 1 species
UUUGGAGCUUAAGGGCGGAAGUGAGAUUCCAUGACUUGAACCAAGGCAGCUCUAGUCUGAGAAGUACCUUGUGGUCUAUAAUCCUUUAGAACAAGACCGAAUCUCGUUGGUCUCAGUCUAUGUGAGUUCCCCCACAGUGCAAGUGUUCUCUGCUUCAGGAAAACCUGUGGAAGUUCAAGUCAGUGCAGUUUGGGAUACAGCAAAUACUAUUUCAGAAACAGCCUAUGAGAUCUCUUUUCGAGCACAUAUACCACCAUUGGGACUGAAAGUGUAUAAGAUUUUGGAAUCAGCAAGUUCAAAUUCACAUUUAGCUGAUUAUGUCUUGUAUAACAAUAAAGUAGAAGAUAGAGGAAUUUUCACCAUAAAGAAUAUGAUAAAUACUGAAGAAGGUAUAACACUAGAGAACUCCUUUGUUUUACUUCGGUUUGAUCAAACUGGACUUAUGAAG